CUUGUUAGUCUCUAUUGCAUCUAGAUUAUAUUAUAUACCCUCCAGGGAGUUUUCGUAGUAUGAUCAUGUUUAGUUGAGAGCCACAUUCUUUAUGUGGCCCACCAUAGGUUCCAUUUCAAUUACUCAUACUUUGUGAUACGGUGGGCAUGUUAUAUCCCAAAACAAAUGCAGGUUACAUUCACAUUGAAAUCUAUUGGAGCUUUGAGAUACAGUUUUGCCGGGUUGAUUUUCUCUUGUAUAAAAAUGAAGGUAUGCAGUCAGAUUCUGAUGCUCUAUGGUUCACAGAGCAUAUCUUUUUGUUUUUCCCCAAUAAGUGUUGAGAGCAAUGAGAGCUUCUUAAUUUUGUACUAUGUUUGAGUGUUCGCAUUAAGUACUGUUUGCCAAUAUUUUUACAAUCAUCAUCUGGUGUCUUAUAUUGUCCUGCAUUUUUUUUCGUUUUUCCUUUUUUUUUCCUUUUUUUUUUUUUCCUUUUCUCCCAAGCAAUUGUCAUGGUUAGGUAAAGCUUCUAGAUAAGGUCAACUGAACCUGGAUGUUGCUGCAAUGAGUUACACCAUGUAGCGAUUGAGCAAUUGGCUGACUUACAGCUUAUUCCUAAGUUAAUGCUGAAUUACAAAUGAUUUCAACAGGUAAUUCUCCGUGAAACUAUUGGUUGUUCCGCCAUAUGUGUAGGUUCUUCAGUAACAUUUGUAUGUUUCUAGAUAAGGCCAACUGAACCUGGAUGUUGCUGCAAUGAGUUAUACCAUGUAGCGAUUGAGCAAUUGGCUGACUUACAGCUUAUUCCUAAGUUAAUGCUGAAUUACAAAUGAUUUCAACAGGUAAUUCUCCGUGAAACUAUUGGUUGUUCCGCCAUAUGUGUAGGUUCUUCAGUAACAUUUGUAUGUAUGCUUCAUUUAGUUUUUUCAUUUUCAUGUUCACAGUGAUGGUUCCAUAUUUCACUUAUUGCAGUUCUAUGCACUUUGACUGGUUUUCAGUCAUCUUGGUGUUGUGAGUUUUUGUCGUGUUAAUUGAUAUGAUUGCGGUUUUAAAAUAUACAAUUGUUGCUAAUAAGUUUAGCUCUUUUAAAGUGAACAAUUUGCUUUAGAGGAUAAGGUGGUCUCCUUUUCAACCAUAGAUAAAUAAAUCAACAAAUGAUAUUGUGUAUGCAUAACAAAUAAUGCUCAAUUAGGAAUAUCAAAAGUUGUGUUUUUUAUCUUCUCAAUAACGAUUGACAUGUCUUACUUUAUCCUCUAAAGCGAAAACCCACUUUAGAGGAGCCUAGUGAGAGAUGCCGGAUAACUUUAGGAUUUUUCCUUUCUCAAGAACAUGAGACAUUAUUUUGGUGAUUGUGAGUCACAUUUGAAGGUUUUCCCCUUUUCUUUUGGUCUUUUUUUUUCCCUCUCACUCUUCCCUCCCCUUCUUUCCCCGAUUUAACUUUUUCUGGUUAGGUU
rnacentral:lncRNA from 1 species